AUUGAACGCUGGCGGCAGGCCUAAUACAUGCAAGUCGAGCGAGCGGCGGACGGGUGAGUAAUGUAUGGGGACUGCCCGCUAGAGGGGGCUAACUACUGGACCCGGUGGCUUAUCACGCCUACUGCCGGUUAACCCCUAUGGGAUUAGCUAGUAGGUAAGGUAAUGGCGUACCUAGGCGACGAUCCCUAGCUGGUCUGAGAGGAUGAUCAGCCAGACGGGGACUGAGAAACGGCCCAGAGUGCUACGGAGGCAGCAGUGGGGAAUAUUGCACAAUGGGCGCAAGCCUGAGUGAGCAAUGCCGCGUGUAUGAAGAAGGUCCUAGGGGUGUAAAGUACUGUCAGUCGGGAGGCGUUACCGAAAGAAGAAGCACCGGCUAACUCCGUGCCAGCAGCCGCGGUAAUAC
rnacentral:rRNA from 1 species